ACAUACGAGAUAGGGACUGUAGGUUUGUACUUAAGUUGAAUUUGUAUGUAAGUCGGAACAGGUACAUUAUUUUAAUAAAUACUAUUGUUGACCGACUGUAACCAAGUGCUCUGCCAAUGAAUGAUGGAGUGUCACCUCUCUCUGACCUUUUUAUUAUUUCGACUUUACUUUCAAUGGUGAUGGUUUUUCUCUUCUUUACUGUAUCACCAGCACUUGCAUCAGAUUUGUGUUUCAGAGACAUUCUUGAAGGGUUAAGAUGAGCUGUUCUGCACAGCACUGUCCACGCUAUCACAGCAGGAAGGCACCAGUCGUCAACACGUCUGAUGUACUGACAAGAGACAACUUCCUGCUAUGUGUGUAACAGUACAAGCAGGCUUGCUAUUAAGAAUGACUGGGGGUGGCAAGGGGGGGGUUCAUCACCAGCCCACCUCACAGUCCCCUCCACUACAGUAUGCUGCCUGCAGUGUCCGCUCACCGAGAACGAACACGGUUCGGCCAAAGGCGGGUAGUGAAUCGCCCAACCCCAAUUCAACAGGCAGCCAUCCGAGGCACACUACAAUGCUACCCCUGCAGCCCCGUUCAGCCACAACCGGGUCACCGCUUGCAGCAUUACCAGCCGUGUGUGCUGGGCAGGUAGUGAAAAGCCCCCCCUCCGCUCCUUCCAGUCAGGAGCAGUAGCUGCGGUGGCGUAGUGGGUGGGCAGAGAACCAUCGUCCUGCACACAAGCAAUAGCUGUGGCCCCGGUGACUAUGGACCACGGGUCACCGCUUGCUGCCGGAAGCCACCCGAGGAACACUACACUGCGCGAGCAGCGAAAUCGCCCCCCCCCUCCAGCCACCGCUUGCAGCAUCCCCAAGCUGAAGAUGAUGGAGUGGCAGUUACUGAGGUGCAUGCGUCGCAGCUGCGUCCUCAUUCGUAAGUCGCAGGUCGGAUGUCCGUAACCUGGGAACUACCUGUAUAGAUAGCGCUUUUCUCACUACUCAAAGAUUAAUAAAGCAACCGAUUAUAGCGUCCACCACACUCCCAUUAUACAAAGUGAAAGGCAGAAGAAAACAAGCAGGUCUGAAGCCGAUUUUUAAAAACUUCGAUUAGAGGAUGAAGGCUUGAUGUGGAAAGGCAGGUCAUUCCAACUGAGAAAGCUGUCUCCCCUUGACUUGAGCCGAGAUCUUGGAGCUACAAGGAGUCGUCGUCCAGAUGAUAUCAAUGGCCUCGGUGCCACUGUUAUAACGUGUUUUUUAUUAAGUUUAAUGUCACUGUUCUCUGUGCCCACUGUUAUGGAUUCAUUCAUACAGGCAGACCAAAUAUGGUACACAGGCACAGUAUCAGCAUUUAGAAUUGCCGAGCCAAGCACAGGACUAGAGAGACACAGACAACUGAAGGAUUGGAUGGUCAGCCUAAAGACAGACUAAUAUAUUUCUGUCUUCUGUCAGCAUAUUUCCUUGUUGGGAGAAUGGGAACUGUAUGUGGGCAUUGUGCUGUUUCUGAAUGUUUGAAGGUGGGGUUUGAGUACUUUCCUGUCCUUAUUUAGAUACGGAGCCAGGAGUCUGCACGUGGAGGACCAGUAUAAGAAUGGACACCUACGGCCAACACUUUGAAGCUUCCGGGCGGAAGAGUAUGUCUUCCGUCCGAGGCCGGGCAGAAGAUUAUGUCUUCUGUCCGGCUAAAACCCUUUCAGCGUGGCGACGACAGAUGACGGACUGCACAGAUCAAGUCUCCCGCAUUCUUGAUAUGUCUGUCAUAAGCUUCCUGCUUGUAAUACCACGUGAAACCGUCAGUAAAGAGCUAAAUUAUC